rnacentral:snRNA from 1 species
GGCUAUGUGAGGGCGAUCUGGCUGCGACCUCAUUGAUCGCCAGGGUUGAUUCAGCUGAUCUGGCUGGCGAGGCGGGCGUCCCCUUUGUUCCUCAGCGCUCCCGGAGCUGAGUGGAUUGAGCAGGAGGACAGCCUCCCCAUGGAAGGGACCUUUCCUCCGUCACAGGUUCAGGAGUAGCUGCUCUCCCUUGCUGGAAACUUCAAAUAAGCUCUCAAGAUAUAAAGAAAAGGAAAGCUCUUAGAAUUAAAAAAAAAAAAAAGAGAGAGAGAGAAAUUUAUUUCACUUAUAUUU